rnacentral:rRNA from 1 species
GACAGAGGUGCCGAGCGUUAGGCGGAAUCACUGGGCUUAAAGCGUGUGUAGGCGGGUCGUUAAGUGUCUUGUGAAAUCCCACCGCUCAACGGUGGAACUGCUGGGCAUACUGGCGAUCUUGAGCCACCUAGGGGCAGACGGAACAAGCGGUGGAGCGGUGAAAUGCGUAGAUAUCGCUUGGAACGCCGACGGUGAAAACAGUCUGCUGGGGGUGUGCUGACGCUGAGACGCGAAAGCGUGGGGAGCGAACAGG